AUAUUGCACAAUGGGGGAAACCCUGAUGCAGCGACGCCGUGUGAGCGAAGAAGGCCUUCGGGUCGUAAAGCUCUGUCCUAGGGGAAGAAACGGACGGUACCUGAGGAGGAAGCCCAGGCUAUCUACGUGCCAGCAGCCGCGGUAAUACGUAGGGGGCAAGCGUUGUCCGGAAUUAUUGGGCGUAAAGGGUGCGUAGGCGGCCUUUUAAGUCAGAUGUGAAAGCCCAAGGCUUAAGCGUGGUACUGCAUUUGAAACUGGAGGGCUUGAGUAUCGGAGAGGGUAGUGGAAUUCCCAGUGUAGCGGUGGAAUGCGUAGAUAUUGGGAGGAACACCAGUGGCGAAGGCGACUACCUGGACGAAAACUGACGCUGAGGCACGAAAGCUAGGGGAGCAAAC
rnacentral:rRNA from 1 species